rnacentral:rRNA from 1 species
AUGAUGAAGGUCUUCGGAUUGUAAAGUACUGUCUUUGGGGAAGAAUGACUGGCUUGAAAAUAUUGAGUCAGUAUGACGGUACCCAAGGAGGAAGCCCCGGCUAACUACGUGCCAGCAGCCGCGGUAAUACGUAGGGGGGCAAGCGUUGUCCGGAAUUAUUGGGCGUAAAGGGCGCGUAGGCGGAUUUUUAAGUCCGGUGUGAAAGAUCAGGGCUCAACCCUGAGAGUGCAUCGGAAACUGGGGAUCUUGAGGACAGGAGAGGAAAGUGGAAUUCCUAGUGUAGCGGUGAAAUGCGUAGAUAUUAGGAGGCACACCAGUGGCGAAGGCGACUUUCUGGUACUCUAACUCACGAUGAGAG